GCUGGGUGUGGUGGUGUGCACCUGUAGUCCCAGCUACUUGGGAGGCUGAGGCAGGAGAAUUGCUUGAACCCGGGAGGCGGAGGUUGCAGUGAGCCAAGAUAGCUCCACUGCACUCCAGCCUGGGUGACAGAGCAAGACUCUGUCUCAA
rnacentral:SRP_RNA from 1 species